UUGUCUCAGAGCGGAAUCAAUUUCAUCUUCAUGCAAUGCAUGUGCACUAGCCUAUAUCUGCUCUACCUUUCACAAACCACAUGGGUUUGCUCAUUGCCGUGCACCCUACUUCUCGUAAACGCGAUCUGUACA